GGAGGUGAGGGUGAUCGACUGGGACAUCUGUCACCCCGCCGAUCGCUGGGGUUGACUCGGCUGCUCUGGCUGGCUAGGCGGGGGUCCCCUCCCUCCCUCACCGCUCCCUGUGCGCCUCCCGAAGCUGCACGCUCGGGCGAAGAGGACCUUCCCCGACAGAGGAGAGGACUAUUCUUCCGCCAAAGGUACUUAAAAA
rnacentral:snRNA from 1 species